CAUUUAUACCAAGCCAGUUAACCGACAAAUCUGCACCACUUUGGAGUGUGGGUGGAAACCGGAGCAUCCGGA